AAUGAACACUGGCGGCAGGCCUAACACAUGCAAGUCGAACGGAUCCUUCGGGAUUAGUGGCGGACGGGUGAGUAACGCGUGGGAACAUACCCUUUGGUACGGAAUAGCCUCGGGAAACUGGGAGUAAUACCGUAUGUGGUCGAGAGACGAAAGAUUUAUCGCCAAAGGAUUGGCCCGCGUUGGAUUAGGUAGUUGGUGGGGUAAUGGCCUACCAAGCCGAUGAUCCAUAGCUGGUUUGAGAGGAUGAUCAGCCACACUGGGACUGAGACACGGCCCAGACUCCUACGGGAGGCAGCAGUGGGGAAUCUUAGACAAUGGGGGAAACCCUGAUCUAGCCAUGCCGCGUGAUCGAUGAAGGCCUUAGGGUUGUAAAGAUCUUUCAGGUGGGAAGAUAAUGACUGUACCACCAGAAGAAGCCCCGGCUAACUCCGUGCCAGCCGCCCCGUAA
rnacentral:rRNA from 1 species